GACGAACGCUGGCGGCGUGCUUAACACAUGCAAGUCAAACGGAAAGGCCCUGCUUUUGUGGGGUGCUCGAGUGGCGAACGGGUGAGUAACACGUGAGUAACCUUCCCUUGACUUUGGGAUAACUUCAGGAAACUGGGGCUAAUACCGGAUAGGAGCUCCUGCUGCAUGGUGGGGGUUGGAAAGUUUCGGCGGUUGGGGAUGGACUCGCGGCUUAUCAGCUUGUUGGUGGGGUAGUGGCUUACCAAGGCUUUGACGGGUAGCCGGCCUGAGAGGGUGACCGGCCACAUUGGGACUGAGAUACGGCCCAGACUCCUACGGGAGGCAGCAGUGGGGAAUAUUGCACAAUGGGCGGAAGCCUGAUGCAGCAACGCCGCGUGCGGGAUGACGGCCUUCGGGUUGUAAACCGCUUUCGCCUGUGACGAAGCGUGAGUGACGGUAAUGGGUAAAGAAGCACCGGCUAACUACGUG
rnacentral:rRNA from 1 species